rnacentral:rRNA from 1 species
UACGAAGGGGCUAGCGUUGUUCGGAAUUACUGGGCGUAAAGCGCGCGCAGGCGGUCUUCCAAGUCAGUGGUGAAAGCCUGGAGCUCAACUCCAGAACUGCCAUUGAAACUGUUAGACUUGAGUACGAGAGAGGUGAGUGGAAUUCCCAGUGUAGAGGUGAAAUUCGUAGAUAUUGGGAAGAACACCAGUGGCGAAGGCGCUCACUGGCUCGUAACUGACGCUGAGGAGCGAAAGCCAGGGGAGCAAACGGGG